AUCCAACUGAUGAGUCCCAAAUAGGACAAGUUGCGCGUCUUGUAU
rfam:Schistosoma rodhaini strain Burundi genome assembly, scaffold: SROB_scaffold0004025